GUGAGGAAUAUUGGUCAAUGGGCGGGAGCCUGAACCAGCCAAGUCGCGUGAAGGAAGAAGGAUCUAUGGUUCGUAAACUUCUUUUGCAGGGGAAUAAAGUGCAGGACGUGUCCUGUUUUGUAUGUACCCUGAGAAUAAGGAUCGGCUAACUCCGUGCCAGCAGCCGCGGUAAUACGGAGGAUCCGAGCGUUAUCCGGAUUUAUUGGGUUUAAAGGGUGCGUAGGUGGUUUGAUAAGUCAGCGGUGAAAGUUUGCAGCUUAACUGUAAAAAUGCCGUUGAAACUGUCGGGCUUGAGUGUAAAUGAGGUAGGCGGAAUGCGUGGUGUAGCGGUGAAAUGCAUAGAUAUCACGCAGAACUCCGAUUGCGAAGGCAGCUUACUAAGCUACAACUGACACUGAAGCACGAAAGCGUGGGGAUCAAACAGGAUUAGAUACCCGAGUAGUCC
rnacentral:rRNA from 1 species